AUGGCGGCGGCCAGGAGGCGUUGGUGAAAUCUAAAAUCCAGUAAAAUCAUUCCACUGAGGUAAAAUCAAAUAUGGUGAAAUUCGAGAUAGCGACGUGCAAAUUCGAGACAUGCGACUGAUGAAAUAAGUUUCACAUUAGCUGCAAAGUCAACAGAGAAGUUUGGUGUGGAAGGAGUUGCAGUUUCAUGCUGAAUUUAAUGGUAUUUUCGAAUAUGAAGCGCGGGGGGCUUUGAAAUGAAGGACUGGAUUACAGAGGGUGAAUUAGGGUUACGAUUGGUUACGAUGUGGGUUUAACUUAACAGCCAGUUAUCAAGACAAACGUGAAGAUGAAAGAGAUAUUUUUACUAGUCACUGUAUUGAACGUAACUGUUGAAGGCAAUGGUCUCGCAACAUUCAAGUCGGUAUUUCGAAUCCUCGGAAGAAUGAUUUUCAUUAUUCACCCAAAAAAAGGAUUGAGAUAAACGUAGCCUUAAACGUCAAGCGCUGGUGGUCUAGUGGUGAAGACAACGUUCUCGCAAUCUAGAUGACCAUGGUUCGAAACGUUAUCUGGCCUUUUUUUAGUAUGCUAAUUGCAACUUACAGACAUGCGUCGUGCAUGUAAGUGUACUGUCUUUAAUUCUCUACGCAUAUGAUGUAUGCACGUGGUCAUUCGUGCACUGUGUGGACUAUUGCAUGAUGUCAAGAAAAUUUUAAAUGUCCUUAAUUCACUCCAUUUGUUGAAAAAUUGACCGGUUUUAGGUUGCAGUAAAUGCAGUGAGUGAAAACGGACACUUUGCGUUUAUUAAACGUACUUAAACGAUAUUGCAAAGCGAGAAAAAGUGAAAUUAAGUAUUUAUAAACCCCGCGCAGUCGCAGUGAACGAGUAAUAAUCCCACAAUAACCACAUUGAGCAAUGUCGUAUAUACUAAGCCGACAACUCUUGAACUCAUACACCACAGGCACACACCGACUAUCGUUAUCUAAUCUUUUGGCAGGAUUCUGUGGAAGAACUUUUGUUCUGGCAUGUGUUUAGAGGAUAAUGAUAGUUCGAAUCCUAUUAUAACCGUUUUUCAUUAAGAA